rnacentral:rRNA from 1 species
AGUGAACGCUGGCGGUAGGCCUAACACAUGCAAGUCGAACGGCAGCACAGUAAGAGCUUGCUCUUACGGGUGGCGAGUGGCGGACGGGUGAGGAAUACAUCGGAAUCUACUUUUUCGUGGGGGAUAACGUAGGUAAACUUACGCUAAUACCGCAUACGACCUACGGGUGAAAGCAGGGGAUCUUCGGACCUUGCGCGAUUGAAUGAGCCGAUGUCGGAUUAGCUAGUUGGCGGGGUAAAGGCCCACCAAGGCGACGAUCCGUAGCUGGUCUGAGAGGAUGAUCAGCCACACUGGAACUGGGACACGGUCCAGACUACUACGGGAGGCAGCAGUGGGGAAUAUUAGACAAUGGGCGCGAGCCUGGUCCAGUCAUACCGCGUGUGUGAAGAAGGCCUUCGGGUUGUAAAGCCCUUUUGUUGGGAAAGAAAAGCAGCAGGUUAAUACCCCGCUGUUCUGACGGUACCCAAAGAAUAAGCACCGGCUAACUUCGUG